rnacentral:pre_miRNA from 13 species
GCAUAUUUCACGUUUGUGCGUGAAUCUAACAACCCUUUUCAUCAGAAAAACUGUUGUUGUUUGCUAGAUUCACGCACAAACUCGUAAUAUGUAU